rnacentral:rRNA from 1 species
ACGGAAGGCAGCAGUGAGGAAUAUUGGUCAAUGGGCGGAAGCCUGAACCAGCCAAGUCGCGUGAAGGAUGAAGGUAUUAUGUAUUGUAAACUUCUUUAGCAGCAGAGUAAUAAGGGGGUCGUGACCCCCAAUGCAAGUAUGCUGAAAAUAAGGAUCGGCUAACUCCGUGCCAGCAGCCGCGGUAAUACGGAGGAUGCAAGCGUUAUCCGGAUUUAUUGGGUUUAAAGGGUGCGUAGGCGGAUGAUUAAGUCAGUGGUGAAAGGUCCCGGCUCAACCGGGGAGCUGCCAUUGAUACUGGUUGUCUUGAAUGCGGAUGCCGUGGGAGGAAUGUGUGGUGUAGCGGUGAAAUGCAUAGAUAUCACACAGAACACCGAUUGCGAAGGCAUCUCACGAAUCCGUUAUUGACGCUGAGGCACGAAAGCGUGGGGAUCAAACAGGAUUAGAUACCCUGGUA